rnacentral:rRNA from 1 species
CCCUUAGACGUUCUGGGCCGCACGCGCGCUACACUGACCAGUGCAACAAGCAUCCGUCCUUGGCCGACAGGCCCGGGCAAUCUUUGAACGCUGGUCGUGAUGGGGAUAGACUUUUGCAAUUUUUGGUCUUCAACGAGGAAUUCCUAGUAAACGCAAGUCAUCAACUUGCAUUGAUUACGUCCCUGCCCUUUGUACACACCGCCCGUCGCACCUACCGAUUGAAUAGUCCGGUGAAGCCUCCGGAUUGGCGCGCACCUCGGUGCCGCCGAGAAGUUGGCUAAACCUUACCAUUUAGAGGAAGGUGAAGUCGUAACA